UAGUCAUUUACAAGAACACUUUCUUGGGAUAUGUCCUAUUUGACCACCGUGGGGUACAUCUUUUGCGGUGUGAAAAGUUUUAAAAAAUGAAAAUCGCAAUAGGGGAAAAAGUUAAAGUUUCAAUAUAGUCGAGGUUGAUGUAGCAACACUAGAGUUAGCUUUAUUUGAGUUGCAGGACAGAGGAUAGUUGCCCGGUGUAGAUGAACUUGAUAAUAUUGUCAUGAAAUAAAAGCUUGUAUACAAUAUUUUGCCACACGAAGUAAGGCAAACGGAAUUACAAGAUAUUCUUGAUUAGUGUAAGAAUAUCACUGAUCUGAAUUGUAUUCAAGUUUAUUGGAGGUCCCGAUAGUGAAAUCUAGUGGCCAACUAUUUGGUGGAAUAUGUGAAGAGGAAGAAAACAAAUAUUUUUGACAUGUAUUUAGAUUUGAAGUUGUGUCACAUCACUUGGGGUCAAUGAUUGGACCCUCUAAGCCUUAUUUGUUUAAGAUAAACAUGCGUUCUGAAGGGCGACAUAAGUAGAUCUUCUCAAAUCAAGAUGGAGGCGCACAAAAAAUUAUGAGCUGGAUUAAUGAGUACAAUAAGAUAACUUUUUUUUUUUUCCAAAUAAAGUACAGUUUUGUGUUUUUAUUGAUUUGAUAUUAGAUAAGGUUGUACAAAUUUGUUCUUAAAAACAGUUUAAUUUAUUGUGUUCUUUUCACAACAUUUAAUAAGGAGAGGAUUCCAAAGCAAAUCAUCUUUGAGAUUUCUACGAUGAAUGGAGUGCGAAUACUCGAAGGAUAUUCGAGUAUGCUUGCCAUAAUCUUUCGCCUUUUUUUUUUUCCAAAAAAACUAGCGAAAGAGUAGGGAUUUUCAAGUGAAAAUUAUUUUGUCUUGGUGUAGUGCCAAUAAAUACUUUUGCCAACAAAAAAGUCUCAAAUGCUACCGUUGAAGAUAUAGAGGAUCAAGAGGAUGAGGGCAUCCAUAAGUUGAUUGAUAUUUUUUGAUCGCCUGCAACGUAUUCCUAUCUUGCAGACUCUCCUAAUGUACUUGCAAUUUGAUACUGAGAUUGAGGUAUGUAUAACUGAUGUGUAUCCCUUUUUUUAGCUUCUUGAAAUUUCAUAUCUAUAAAUAGGUCCCAUAUUGUUAUUUAUUUUGUAAAAUUAUCAAUUAAUCUAAUAUGUAUGAAGAAGAGAGCUAGCCGGUUAGGAGGCUUUGGUGGGAGUGACGGUUGCACCCAAAAAAAAAUCAAUGUUGCUUCCAAAUGAUUUAUUUAAAUCAUGUUCAUCAGAAGAUUUGAUGAUCAAGUCCCAUCCUUUAUCUUCCGUUUAUUUUCGAGGCCAAAUGCCGUUUGGAAUUUAUGAUGUAACAAUGCGGGCUUUGAGCUAUUAUGCUCUGGGUAUUUGCAUUCGUAGACUUAAAUUUGGACCCUGUAAGAUUUUUAAAGGAAAGGAUAUAAGGAACGCCAUUCUGGGAUGGCUUCACCAGCGCACAAUAGACAAAUUCCAGUUGAUUGAUAUCCUGAAUGAAGUCGAAUGCAAAUCCGUGGAGCAUAUUGAAGGUAAUUGGAUCAAAUUAUAAGCAAAGAUGAAGGUCAAAACUCUCCUAUGAAAUUGCCACACCAUCUCAAAAUGAUUUCAGUGUCGAAGAUUUAGAAGUUGAACGUAAAAAAGAUGAUGAAUUUAUUACUCAUUACUACAAUGUUGUGGAAGGAAUUGAUCUCGGAGGGUCAUACACUUUUUGGGUUCAAAGUCUGCCAAUGACUAUUUCAGAAGUGUUCUUCAAAGUAAACCGAAGCCUUUGAUUUUAGCUAAGCUAAUAGGUAGUAUUAGUUCUCUUCAAUCAAAUCAACAAGCUUUUUGAUUGAUUCAGGGUGCCACCCUCCUUCUUAGAACCCAUUGAGGGGGGCCUCGGCUUGGGAGGGGGAUAUUGGCCGAGUGGUUAAAAGCGACAGACUGUAAAUCUAUUGAAGUUUUUCUACGUAUGUUCGAAUCCUGCCUCUCCCACUUGUUUGUUGUAGAGUUCAGAGAAGAGAAAGGAGGCAUUCGUCAGCGUAGGAAGGCCCACGGACCGAAGCUCUUUUUUUUUUUUUUUUGGGCCGUGCCGUGAAGUGAAAUUGUAUCGUAUGUUAGUUAGCUUCCACAUGCUUGAAGAAGAGUAAUCAAGCUACCCCUCAUAGGAAUAGAGCCACCACCUCUGAGCGAUCCAAUGGCCGAGAAAGAGCACUUUUGUCUGACUUUUCUGUCAGCAAGCCGGUGUCCUCAUCAAGCUUGUUCACACAGGAGAACGCCAUGAACACCAAGUGGAAGAUGGAAGAGUCAAUUGAUGUCUGUCUUAAAAGUGGUGAAACGUUGUUGAAGAUGAACCUGAAAGUGGUCAAUGAAAUCCUAAAUAACUAGUCACUAGUACAGCAAAUAAGGAUGUAGUUAAUUGGUAUAAUUGGUGCAAACGGGCAGCAAUUGACGCCUAACUUCUCUGCAUCUCUUUUGAAUGUCAUUUGGCUAAUCUUGAACCUGUAAUUAGUAAUCAAAAUAAAUGGUAAAUAUGUAUUACCAAUCAACUCUUAGUUUCAUCCUUUCUACCUUUAUGGUGGUAUUACAA